rnacentral:rRNA from 1 species
ACGGGUGAGUAACACGCAUCCAACCUGCCGUCUACUCUUGGCCAGCCUUCUGAAAGGAAGAUUAAUCCAGGAUGGCAUCAUGAGUUCACAUGUCCGCAUGAUUAAAGGUAUUUUCCGGUAGACGAUGGGGAUGCGUUCCAUUAGAUAGUAGGCGGGGUAACGGCCCACCUAGUCAACGAUGGAUAGGGGUUCUGAGAGGAAGGUCCCCCACAUUGGAACUGAGACACGGUCCAA